GUGGGGAAUAUUGGGCAAUGGGGGAAACCCUGACCCAGCAACGCCGCGUGAAGGAAGAAGGUCUUCGGAUCGUAAACUUCUAUCCUUGGUGAAGAUAAUGACGGUAGCCGAGAAGGAAGCCCCGGCUAACUACGUGCCAGCAGCCGCGGUAAUACGUAGGGGGCAAGCGUUGUCCGGAAUGAUUGGGCGUAAAGGGCGCGUAGGCGGCCUGGUAAGUCUGGAGUGAAAGUCCUGCUUUUAAGGUAGGAAUUGCUUUGGAUACUGUCGGGCUUGAGUGCAGGAGAGGUAAGUGGAAUUCCCGGUGUAGCGGUGAAAUGCGUAGAGAUCGGGAGGAACACCAGUGGCGAAGGCGGCUUUCUGGACUGUAACUGACACUGAGGCACGAAAGCGUGGGGAGCAAACAGGAUUAGAUACCCGAGUAGUCC
rnacentral:rRNA from 1 species